GUCCAGUUUGGCCAAGAGGAUCGCCAACUCGUCAGGCUACGUGGGCGACCGCUUCAAGUGCGUCACCACUGAGCUGUAUGCUGAUUCCAGCAAACUGAGCCGGGAGCAACGUGCCCUUCAGAUGGAAGUCUUAUCCCAAGAGAACAGUAAUUUAUGUCAACCUGCAGCUAACCAUGAGCGCGCAAUGAUGCGCUUCUCCGAGCUGGAGCUGAAGGAGAAGGAGGGAGGGGCGGCGGCGGCAGGCCGGGACUUGGCGGCGGUUCAGCGCGGCGAGGGGAGACUGGGAGCGCAGCCAGCGCAGCUCUAAGCCAGGGGCCGCAGCCCUCGCCCACGAAACUGAGAAGAACAGUGUUCAGCCCCCAUGCACCAAUAACAGGGUUCCGGUCCUGCAACGGUGCGGCGUUCCAGCCAACGGCCUCCAGCUCCCCCGCGGACGAGAGCCGGGACGGCGGGCGGAUGAGAGGAGAUUGAGAGAUGGCGAGGACCGGGACAGGAGGAGGGG
ensembl:lncRNA